CGCCAUCUAACGCCGAAUCCCGCCGGUGGCGGGAGCGGGGGAACCAAGUUUCCCGGGGCGUAUCGCCGCAAGGCGUAGGGCAACUCUUUCGGCCCGAGCCCGUCAGCUAACCUCGCAGGCGUCGAAGGAGAGAACCU
rnacentral:sRNA from 2 species